AUUGAACGCUGGCGGCAUGCCUUACACAUGCAAGUCGAACGGUAACAGGCCGCAAGGUGCUGACGAGCGGCGAACGGGUGAGUAAUGCAUCGGAACAUGUCCAUGUCGUGGGGGAUAGCCCGGCGAAAGCCGGAUUAAUACCGCAUACGCCCGGGAGGGGAAAGCAGGGGACCGCACGGCCUUGCGCGAUUGGGUUGGCCGAUGUCCGAUUAGCUUGUUGGUGAGGUAAAGGCUUACCAAGGCGAUGAUCGGUAGCUGGUCUGAGAGGAUGAUCAGCCACACUGGGACUGAGACACGGCCCAGACUCCUACGGGAGGCAGCAGUGGGGAAUUUUGGACAAUGGGGGCAACCCUGAUCCAGCCAUUCCGCGUGAGUGAAGAAGGCCUUCGGGUUGUUAAGCUCUUUUGUCCGGAGCGAAACGGUACGGGUGAAUAUCCCGUGCUACUGACGGUACCGGAAGAAUAAGCACCGGCUAACUACGUGCCAGCCGCCGCCGUAAUAC
rnacentral:rRNA from 1 species